AGAACCUGAAAGGAUGGAUGACGGAUAUACCCCCUUAUAUUUAAAAGACAAAGUCUCUGGAAGGAGCCAGAACAGAGGAAGUCUGGACUGGAACCCUCCUGUUGUCCCUGGAAGAACCGCCCUUCGCCCAGAGCCUGGGGCAGGCACUGCAGUCCAUCUGGGCCCGAGCAGCACUUUGGACUGUGAUCACGUGGAGCGUUCGCCCUCAAAGGAAAGCAGAGUUGCAUUCAGCUUUGACAGUGCACUUAACAGGAUAUGGAUCUUCCAAUCUGUGUGUAUACAGUGGCAAGAAAAAAAGGACAUGAACUCCUUUCAAUUCGUCAUAAAACAAAUAUUAACAAACACAAUGUGCUUGAGCUAACAACAGUCCAAUAAAACAAUAUCUCAUGUUUUUUAUUAGACACACUCUUGGACAUGGUAACUGGUCGAAAACCGCCAUUGGCAGCGAUAUCUGUCAACCGAGUGCUCGUAGCCAGACCUGGAACUUUCAACCAGGAUAUCUGAUAUGAUCAGCGUGUUUGAGGGCUGAGUUUUUGUUGUUGUGUUGAAGUGGAGACGCAGGAGGUUUUUUUGUAACCAUUGUUUUUAAUAACUGAUAAAGUCUGAACAUGUGUUGCCACA